AGUGAACGCUGGCGGUAGGCCUAACACAUGCAAGUCGAACGGCAGCACAGUAAGAGCUUGCUCUUACGGGUGGCGAGUGGCGGACGGGUGAGGAAUACAUCGGAAUCUACUUUUUCGUGGGGGAUAACGUAGGGAAACUUACGCUAAUACCGCAUACGACCUACGGGUGAAAGCAGGGGAUCUUCGGACCUUGCGCGAUUGAAUGAGCCGAUGUCGGAUUAGCUAGUUGGCGGGGUAAAGGCCCACCAAGGCGACGAUCCGUAGCUGGUCUGAGAGGAUGAUCCGCCACAAUGGAACUGAGACACGGGCCAGACUCCUAAGGGAGGCAGCAGUGGGGAAUAUUGGACAAUGGGCGCAAGCCUGAUCCAGCCAUACCGCGUGGGUGAAGAAGGCCUUCGGGUUGUAAAGCCCUUUUGUUGGGAAAGAAAAGCAGCAGGUUAAUACCCCGCUGUUCUGACGGUACCCAAAGAAUAAGCACCGGCUAACUUCGUG
rnacentral:rRNA from 1 species